rnacentral:lncRNA from 1 species
GGUUGGUGGAAUCAUAGCCUCCAGGGCCUCUGGUCCCCCUCACCCUGUGCCUUCGUGGAAGGGAGGCCUGAGAGCUGUCCCCGGUCACCGGGGCCCCUGCCCUGACGCCAGGGGUCAGCCUCUCAAGGUUAGGGUCUGUCUCCUUCCCUCCCUCCCUUCAGCUUCGCACGUAAAGGGCACCCAGCUGCAGGACCUGCCUGUGUCCUCCGAGGCGCUGUCGGCCUGCGGGCUUGUGGCGGGGCCUCCGGGUGAAGCUCGAGGAGUGGAGCUGGGCCGGGUCGAUCGCUUCGUUUGGAUGGAAAAGAACCUAAAAUUUCUCAAUAAGGUUUCUAUUGAUUAGACGGUGGAAUGACCAUAUUUGGGGCAUGCUCAUGGGUUAAAUUCACUUGUUUGUUUUUCCUUUUUUGGGGGGCCGCAUUCGAGAGACUUGGAAGGUCCCUGGGCCAGGGAUUGAAUCAGAGCCGCAUGGGCGACCUACGCCACAGCUGAGGUAACACGGGACCCUUAACCCACUGCAGCACAGCGGGAACUCCCUGCUGCACGUCUCUGAGCCACACUGUCUUCCUUGAGGAGGCGCUGCUGAGGGUGACGGAGACCCCCCUACUGGAGGUGCCACUGAGGUGUGGCAGGGAGGGGGCAUCCAUCCGUCUGUCCCCAGGCCUCGGACCCUGGUGCCUGAGAGACACGGAUGCUGCAAGACUCCAUCUCCAGCACCACCACUGCUGCGCUCAGACCCUGGGGCUCUGUCAGGAGUCUGCCCUGCACGGCUUUUAUCAAAACAUCCAAAACUAGGCCAGAGACAAGGCCAGGGAACCUGCAGCCUUCGGGCCACUCCAGGCCGCCUACCAGGUUCCGGCAGAGCUGCCGGGCGGGACGUGGACCCCGCGGGCACUUUCGAGCCUCUGCACCCCAGCGUCCCUUCUGCUGCCGUGCUGUGGCCUCAGGGACAGUCACAAAGCCGGGCAGCAGUAAGUUCUCUGACUUCGUUCUGUUGUUCCUCCCUCCCCAGCCCCUGGCCACCACCCUCUGCUUUCUGUCUUUCUGAGUGUGACUCCUCCAGGGACCUCAUCAUAUAAGCAGAAUCCUACAGUCUGUGUCCUUUGGUGACGGGCUCAUUUCACUGAGCAUAAUGUCACAAGGUCUAUCCAGAGUGUUGCAGGUGUCAGGAUUUCUAUACCCUUUUUUUUUUUUUCGGCUGCACCUGGGGCACAUGGAAAUUCCUGGGCCAGGGGUGGAACCCGAGCCACAGAAGCCACCCAAGCCACUGCAGUGGCAACACCAGAUCCUUAACCCACUGCAGUGGCUCAGUGGGAACUCUGACUUCAUUCCUUUUUUUUUUUGUCUUUUUCUCCUUUUGCCAUUUCUUGGGCCACUCCCGCGGCAUAUAGAGGUUCUCAGGCUAGGGGUCGAAUCAGAGCUGUAGCCGCUGGCCUACACCAGAGCCACAGAAACUCGGGAUCCGAGCUGUGUCUGCACCCUACACCACAGCUCACAGCAAUGCCGGAUCCUUAGCCCACUGAGCAAGGCCAGGGAUCGAACCCGCAACCUUAUGGUUCCUAGUUGGAUUCAUUAACCACUGAGCCACGAUGGGAACUUCCUUCCUUUUUAAGGCUGAAUAAUAUUCCAUUGUAUGGAUGUACCACAUUGUGACUCUUUACCCAUCUGGCAAUGGACGCUUGGGUUCCCUCCCCCUUUUGGUUUCUGUGAAUAAAUGCUAUGGGGAAUGUGAGUGUGCAAAUAUCUGUUGAGGUCUCUGCUUUCAGUUCUUUGGGGGCAUACACAUGGAAGCUGAACUGCUAGACCAUAUGGUCAUUCUGUGGGGCGUGGUUUUCGUUUAUUUAUUUAUUUUUUAUUUUUUUGCUUUUUAGGGCCACACCUGCGGCAUAUGGAAGUUCCCAGGCUAGGGGUCGAAUUGGAGCUACAGGUGCUGGCCUACACCACAAACACAGUAAUGCAAAUCUGAGCUGCGUCUGCGACCUACACCACAGCUCAGAGCAACGCCGGAUCCUUAACCUACGGAGUGAGGCCAGGGA